rnacentral:tRNA from 1 species
UGGGGUGUAGCUCAGUGGUAGAGGGCUUGCCUAGCACGUGUGAGACACUGGGUUAGAUCCUCAGCACCACAU